rnacentral:rRNA from 1 species
AUUGAACGCUAGCGGCGUGCUUUACACAUGCAAGUCGAACGAGUGGCGGACGGGUGGGUAAUGUAUGGGGACUGCCCGAUAGAGGGGGAUAACUACUGGAAACGGUAGCUAAUACCGCAUACUAGCGGAUGACCCAUAUGGGAUUCGCGAGUAGGUGGGGUAAUGGCUCACCUAGGCGACGAUCCCUAGCUGGUCUGAGAGGAAGAUCAGCCACGCUGGGGCUGAGACACGGUCCAGACUCCUACGGAGGCAGCAGUGGGGAAUAUUGCACAAUGGGCGGAAGCCGGAGGGAGCCACGCCGCGUGUAUGAAGAAGGCCCUAGGGUUGUAGAGUACUUUCAGUGGGGAGGCGUUACCGACAGAAGAAGCACCGGCUAACUCCGUGCCAGCAGCCGCGGUAAUUC